rnacentral:rRNA from 1 species
GAUGAACGCUGGCGGCGUGCUUAACACAUGCAAGUCGAACGAUGAAGCCCAGCUUGCUGGGUGGAUUAGUGGCGAACGGGUGGGUAACACGUGAGUAACCUGCCCUUGACUCUGGGAUAAGCCUGGGAAACUGGGUCUAAUACUGGAUAUGACUUCUCAUCGCAUGGUGGGGGGUGGAAAGAUUUAUUGGUCUUGGAUGGACUCGCGGCCUAUCAGCUUGUUGGUGAGGUAAUGGCUCACCAAGGCGACGACGGGUAGCCGGCCUGAGAGGGUGACCGGCCACACUGGGACUGAGACACGGCCCAGACUCCUACGGGAGGCAGCAGUGGGGAAUAUUGCACAAUGGGCGCAAGCCUGAUGCAGCGACGCCGCGUGAGGGAUGACGGCCUUCGGGUUGUAAACCUCUUUCAGUAGGGUAGAAGCGAGAGUGACGGUACCUGCAGAAGAAGCGCCGGCUAACUACGUG